rnacentral:sRNA from 1 species
GAGGCGGCUGAAGAGUUGCUGUAUUCUGGGAAUGGGCAGGGUCACUUGUCCGAACAGAGUCCUAUCCUACGCGGCGGAAGCGUGUGCCCUUUGACUUGCAUCGUCUACCUACCUCUGCCAUCCUCUACCAGCCGCAACUGCGAGGGCUGGAGCCAACUUCAGGACUGAUUGAUCAUGACUUCUAUAAAGGAGCAGGCAGCAAUUAGCAGGCUCUUAAGUUUUUUACAGGAGUGGGACAACGCUGGCAAAGUCGCAAGGAGUCACAUCCUCGACAAGUUCAUUGAAACCAACCAAGGCAAGACUGCCCCUGAACUGGAGCAGGAGUUUUCCCAGGGAGCCAGUUUGUUCCUGGUACGCUUGACCACCUCGCUUAGAAUCACCUAUAUGACUGACUCAUGUUUAGAAAAGCUUCUCAGGUCCAUUGGCAUCUUCUUAUCAGCUGUAAGCAGUAAUAGGUACCUUAUAGAAUUUCUUGAGGUUGGAGGUGUCCUAACACUCUUGGAAAUACUUGGGCUAGAGAAGAUCAAGGAGGAGGCCAAGAAGGAAUCUGUCAAACUACUUCAGGUUAUUGCGAACUCUGGCAGGACAUACAAGGAGCUCAUUUGUGAAAGCUAUGGUGUACGAUCCAUAGCAGAAUUUUUGGCAAAGUCUAAGUCAGAAGAGACCCAGGAGGAAGUGCAGGUUCUGUUGGAUUCUUUGGUCCACGGCAAUCCCAAGUACCAAAAUCAAGUGUAUAAAGGUCUAAUAGCUUUGCUGCCCUGCGAGUCCCCGAAAGCCCAGCAGCUGUCCCUGCAGACUCUCAGGACUGCCCAGCCAAUCAUUGGGACCACACACCCCAGCAUCGUGGACUGCGUGCUGAAGGUGCUGGGCACGAUGCACCUGGAAGUCCAGUAUGAAGCCAUCGAGUUGAUCAAGGACCUGGUCGGUUACGAUGUGCGCCAGGCGCUGCUCAAAGGCCUCGUGGCGCUGCUGAUACCGUCGGUCAAGGAGACCUCCAAACUGCAGGCCAAGAUCCUCAGUGGUAAGGACCUGCUCAAAUGGGGCUGCCUGGGCCACGGGAGGGCGGUCUCUUGCCUCACGGCUGCCCCCUCCUCAGACCCCUCGGUUCUCCAGCUCACCCCCAGCCUGCCGAUGUUUUUGCAGCAGGCCGCGGCCGCCAAGGCCAUCGGGUAAGCGGGCAGGGGUUAGUGGGUAGCUGCAGCAAGCCUGGCUUGGCGCUGCCGGCGGGCCCCGGGAGCGCUCCGUGCGCCGGGUGGGCGGGGGAGUGCGCCGGGUGAGCCCCAGGGCGUCGCCCCAGCCUGAACCCCCGGCCCAGGGUCCUGGCGCGCAACGACAUGAGCAUCGCCGAGGAGCUGCUGUACCUGCGCGUGGUGCGUGGCCUAAUGGCCGCCAUGGGCAACACGGACCACAGCAACAGCCAGCGGCUGGCCAGCCUCACGCUGGAGAUGUUCCCCUUGGUGGCGGAGCACGUGCGCAAGUGCAUGGGGGAGGAACUCUACCAGCUCUUCCUGGUAAGUGCGCCCUUCCUGCCCCGCCGCAAUGAGCAGAUGGCGGCUCGGACAGUGUGAUGCCCCUUCACACAGUCCCCAUCCUGGAGCGCGCCACAUGCAGAGUGGACCUGGCCACCAGCUGCAGGAGGGACUGCUCUGGCCUAGGCUCCUCCACCCGCCACCUUCCUGUUCCCUUUCCUGCCCUUUCGGUCAGGCUGCCGACCCGCCCCCCACCUGCAACAUCCCUCUGCCAAGCCCAACUCCAAGUCCAGACUGCCCUGGCACCCCAGCCGGGUCCCCCUUGCUCCUGUCCUCAGAGCAACGCUGAGGACUUGUACAUGAAAAUAGACAGCAUUCAGGCGGACAUCUUGGCGGCCAACACAGUCAAUGUUACCAAAGGUGAGUGUGGGACGAGGGAAGCCGGGCGCAGGCGCCGCCAGCACAGCCUCACGCCUGCCUUUCCUGCCUGCAGCCCUGUGCCUCCAUGGCAGCUCCUACAGCAUGAACACUCUCUAUGGCUCGCGUGAUUCGGCUCAGAUGGCCUACCUCACACACUUCGAGGAGGAUGUAGAAUCAAAGGAGUAACAGCCCCUGUGGCAAACCAGGAAGGCCAAGGCUGCGGGGCAGGGAAGCCUGGCAAGAGGAAGGCGCCUGGGGUCAAGCUCAGAGCCACUCCACUUGGCUCCAAGGGGGAGACGGGGAUUAGGCACCCCAGAGGGGCAGAGGGAGAGCCGCUGGCUGCGAAGAGUCAAUAAACAGCCUUGAUACCUG